UACGUAGGGGGCAAGCGUUGUCCGGAAUCAUUGGGCGUAAAGCGCGUGUAGGCGGCUCGGUAAGUCCGCUCUGAAAGUCCAGGGCUCAACCCUGGGAUGCGGGUGGAUACUGCCGAGCUCGAGUCCGGAAGAGGCGAGUGGAAUUCCUGGUGUAGCGGUGAAAUGCGCAGAUAUCAGGAGGAACACCAAUGGCGAAGGCAGCUCGCUGGGACGUGACUGACGCUGAGACGCGAAGCGUGG
rnacentral:rRNA from 1 species